GAAUAGAGGGUAUAUCACUUCCUUUCUGUCAUGUGACAAUUUCAUAUUUUGAACGAAAUUUAUAUUUCGUUUAGAACAUUACGUUUUCAAAUAUUUCAAGCAAUUAAGGAAAUUACAAGAAUGUAAUUAAAAAUUCUAUACAUAUUCUCUUUAAAUAUAGGUAAAAGUUGUUUAACUUUAUUGGAAUAUUUCUGUGGCUUUCUGUGAAUUGAAAGUCACCUGUUCUUUUUCGAUCGCAAUAUUGGAAUAAAAUUGUCAAAAAAUACUCUGUGCGUUUGGACGAGAAGUGCAGGCAGAUGGGAACAGAAAGCUCGUAGGACAUGGUCUCCAUUUGCUAUCGCCCCCAUUUGUGUGUUUUUCACCGCCCACUCUUUUGGCAAUUCGACUGGCAAAAAGCUGAAAUUGAAAACUCAAAGUACAUGGAACGGUAUUGCCAUUAUGGGCGCCACUGACAUGCAUAUGUGCGGAAAAUGUUCAAACAUUUUGUUGCCCGUUUUCAUGGAGAGUGGAGCUGUAGAAGGAUGCCAUAUUCGGCUGGCAAGCAAACAUUCAAUUAAAGCAUACUUUUGAACGCCACAAAAUGGCGUCGCAGCUUUUCACGCUGCACCAUGGGGCCAACCACCACUUUCGUUAUUAUAAACAACAUUAUAAACAAGUUCAGCUUC
ensembl:ncRNA lncRNA:CR45697 long non-coding RNA:CR45697